GACGAACGCUGGCGGCGUGCCUAAUACAUGCAAGUCGAACGCAGUGGGGAUGGGUGAGUAACAAGUGGGUAACCUCCCAUCAGAGGGGAUAACACUUGGAAACUGGUGCUAAACCGCUACUGAUGGAUGGACCCGCGGUGCAUUAGCUAGUUGGUGGGGUAACGGCUCACCAAGGCGACGAUGCAUAGCCGGCCUGAGAGGGUGAUCGGCCACACUGGAACUGAGACACGGCCCAGACUCCUACGGGAGGCAGCAGUAGGGAAUCUUCGGCAAUGGACGAAAGUCUGACCGAGCAACGCCGCGUGAAUGAAGAAGGUUUUCGGGUCGUAAAACUCUGUUAUUAGAGAAGCGUUAUCUAACCAGAAAGCCACGGCUAACUACGUGCCAGCAGCCGCGGUAAUUC
rnacentral:rRNA from 1 species